rnacentral:rRNA from 1 species
GUACACUCCUACGGGAGGCAGCAGUGGGGAAUAUUGCACAAUGGGCGCAAGCCUGAUGCAGCCAUGCCGCGUGUAUGAAGAAGGCCUUCGGGUUGUAAAGUACUUUCAGCGGGGAGGAAGGCGAUAAGGUUAAUAACCUUGUUGAUUGACGUUACCCGCAGAAGAAGCACCGGCUAACUCCGUGCCAGCAGCCGCGGUAAUACGGAGGGUGCAAGCGUUAAUCGGAAUUACUGGGCGUAAAGCGCACGCAGGCGGUCUGUCAAGUCGGAUGUGAAAUCCCCGGGCUCAACCUGGGAACUGCAUUCGAAACUGGCAGGCUAGAGUCUUGUAGAGGGGGGUAGAAUUCCAGGUGUAGCGGUGAAAUGCGUAGAGAUCUGGAGGAAUACCGGUGGCGAAGGCGGCCCCCUGGACAAAGACUGACGCUCAGGUGCGAAAGCGUGGGGAGCAAACAGGAUUAGAUACCCCGGUAGUCCC